ensembl:piRNA 21ur-2235 ncRNA
UUAGAUAGAGACUGCAUGAUU